GAUGUAUAUGUACUUUGUGGACAGUCACUAUGGUUUUGAUACUUUCUCUUUUAGUCGAGAUUUUGGAUUGUACACUCUUUGUUCUUUUGCCGAUAGUAUAUCGACUUGUACUUUGCUCUGAUAUCAGGAUAGGAUUUUACUUUGCUUCUUCCUAUCGACUUGCUUCUUGUAGACGCCUUAUAUACUGCAGGUGUAUGGCGGGUCUAUGCACGUACCGGAUAUGCUUCCGCUGCCCCGGGCGUGACAAAAUGUCAGGGAGGGAAAGUGAAAAAGCGGGUUAUUACAAGGGGGUUUUCUGUAAUUUAGCCAUAAAUUUAUUUUAAUCAUUCAUUACAAAUUUAAAAUAACAUCUAUAAUUAUAUUUAAUCAUAUAAUAAAUUUAAUAUUAAUAAAAUUGUUCUAACAUUUCACUUAGAAUUAUACAAUAUUAAACCUUAUCACAAAUGAACUUUAUUUUUCGAAAAUAUCAUUUUAAUUUUUAAAUUUUUUCAUUCUAGACGAAACAACGGUUCAAAAUAUAUUUACCCAUUUCUAUUUCUUCUUGCAUUUGAUAGUUUA
rnacentral:lncRNA from 1 species